rnacentral:rRNA from 1 species
AGUGAACGCUGGCGGUAGGCCUAACACAUGCAAGUCGAACGGCAGCACAGUAAGAGCUUGCUCUUACGGGUGGCGAGUGGCGGACGGGUGAGGAAUACAUCGGAAUCUACUUUUUCGUGGGGGAUAACGUAGGGAAACUUACGCUAAUACCGCAUACGACCUACGGGUGAAAGCAGGGGAUCUUCGGACCUUGCGUGAUUGAAUGAGCCGAUGUCGGAUUAGCUAGUUGGCGGGGUAAAGGCCCACCAAGGCGACGAUCCGUAGCUGGUCUGAGAGGAUGAUCAGCCACACUGGAACUGAGACACGGUCCAGACUCCUACGGGAGGCAGCAGUGGGGAAUAUUGGACAAUGGGCGCAAGCCUGAUCCAGCCAUCCCGCGUGGGUGAAGAAGGCCUUCGGGUUGUAAAGCCCUUUUGUUGGGAAAGAAAAGCAGCAGGUUAAUACCCCGCUGUUCUGACGGUACCCAAAGAAUAAGCACCGGCUAACUUCGUG